rnacentral:rRNA from 1 species
GACGAACGCUGGCGGCGCGCUUAACACAUGCAAGUCGAACGGAAAGGCCUGCUUUCCCUUGUGGAUUGCGGGUACUCGAGUGGCGAACGGGUGAGUAACACGUGAGUGAUCUGCCCCCAACUUGGGUAUAAGCCUGGGAAACUGGGUCUAAUUCCCGAUAGGACUGCAGGGUGGUGCCUGUGGUGGAAAACGAUUUUCUAGUGGUUGGGGAUGAGCUCGCGGCCUAUCAGCUUGUUGGUGGGGUAAUGGCCUACCAAGGCGGCGACGGGUAGCCGGCCUGAGAGGGUGGACGGCCACAUUGGGACUGAGAUACGGCCCAGACGCCGACGGGAGGCAGCAGUGGGGAAUAUUGCACAAUGGGCGGAAGCCUGAUGCAGCGACGCCGCGUGGGGGAUGACGGCCUUCGGGUGGUAAACUCCUUUCGACCGCGAGGAAGCCACCUGGUUGGAAGGGUGGUGACGGUAGUGGUAGAAGAAGCACCGGCUAACUACGUG